UACAGAGGGUGCAAGCGUUAAUCGGAUUUACUGGGCGUAAAGAGCACGUAGGUGGUUUGAUAGGUUGAAUUGUGAAAGACUUGGGCUUAACCCAAGAGUGGCAUUCAAAACGGUCAAGCUAGAGUGUUGGAGAGGGAAGUAGAAUUUCUGGUGUAGCGGUGAAAUGCGUAGAUAUCAGAAAGAAUGACAGUGGCGAAGGCGACUUCCUGGCCAAAUACUGACACUGAGGUGCGAAAGCGUGGGUAGCGAACGGG
rnacentral:rRNA from 1 species